rnacentral:sRNA from 1 species
AUCGACGCAAUUCUGCGCGUGCGGGCCUA